UGAAGCACCAAGACAGUCUGAUUUAAUGGUAGAGCUGAUAAAGAAGCUCAAACCACAGGUGGUGAUUACUGGGAUGGCUCAAUUUGAGGCCGUGACUAGUUCAGCUUUUAAUCAGCUUUUAGAUAUUACCAGAGAAAUUGGAUCUCGCCUUUUCUUAGACAUAUCUGAUCAGCUUGAGCUAUCCAGCCUUCCAAGUCCCAACGGAGUCCUAAAAUAUCUUGCAGGAACUCGGCUACCUUCGCAUGCUGCAAUCCUUUGUGGCCUUGUAAAGAACCAGGUUUAUUCAGAUUUAGAAGUAGCUUUUGUCAUUUCAGAAGAA
rnacentral:misc_RNA from 1 species